AAAGGGGAGAAUAUUUUUCUAUCUCUUCCAAAUCGUAAAAAAAAAGAAAAAAAACUCUGAAGAACUCUCAACAUUCGUAAAAGUGUUUCGAUCUCUUCCAAACUUUGCAGAAACGGAUCCCAAUUCAUUUAACAUUUUAGCUUCACAACGAGAAGAAAACAGGGUGAUCGAGAGAGAUGGAAGACGUAAAGGCAAAACAACAGCAUACAUGGGUUGUAUAGCAGCAGAAUGUUCUUGCAGUGACUCCUCCACGUGUGAAACCUGUCCUCAUUAAGGUUUGUGCUUUAGGAGGUCUGAGGAGAUUGCAAAGAUAUAAUCUUUUUUUUUUGUUGAGGUAUGUGCAUAAUAAUGACUUCCGUUAGAUCCAUAUAAAAGUUCCAUCUACAUCAAUUUUGUUGAAUUCAUACUGCAAAACUUGGUGUCCUUUUUCGCUUAUAUGGAAAGGUCUAUGUUAAGUUGUCAAGACUAGAUGCUGGCAGCUUCAAAGUUGCUUGUCGCCUCCUUGAGUUCUUCAUAUGACAGAAACCGUGUACUUUUGCUGGGUGGGGAAGUGAUCCCCCUGAUGAAGCUGCUUCCAGGAUCCUUGGUUUUACUGAAAGGAAGGAAGAUGUGAUCAAGCAAAAGAACAACAAAGUUAAUUGCACGAGAGAAAAUGAUAAGCACAGAGAUUAUAGCAGUGAUGAGCACACCAGCGGCUACAGCAAAGAUAAGAAUAAGAACGUUUCUUAAUACAAAUGUAAAGAAUCAUGAUGUUGAUAUACUCUCAGAAAAGCAUUUUACUUUGAGAAGGUGCAGGGGCCUCAAACCAAGUAAAGUUUGACUCGCUGAGAAACUAAUACCAGAAUGAGGCGUGAUAUCCAUGGAAAUGUUCAUCCUUGAUAAGCUUAGCAUAUAGAAGUUGAUCAGCUCAAUUUGGUGAGGUAGGAGACCAAGCUGGGAAGCAAAUUCGAUCAGGAACAUGUUCCAGCUGGGAGUAUCUGAAACAUUCAAGAGAAGGAUGUCCAGCUUUAUAGGGAUACACGCAGUGGCAGCCAAUACUUCCUCGUUUCAGCACCAUAUCUGGUUUGCAACAAUACUCACCUGUUAUUGCUAUUUUGCUAGUCUAAUGACAAAUCAAAAUGAGAAUAGAUAACGUCUUACCUGAAAUGGAGGGAGACAAAGGUGGCUUCGUUAAGCCAUCUGGAAGUGCGCCAUUACUAAUUAGAUUGCGUUGGAGCAAUAUCUACCAAACCUGCUCCAGGAGACUGGACAUUAGAUGGUUUGGAGAUGAACAGAAGCAACCAACCGACUAUAACGGGGAGGAGUGUUGAGAAGAUUUACAAGGUGGAGCUUGAGAACGGCAAGAGACGUUGCUGUCAAGAAGAAGAUUUUCUGGAAAGAUGAUCUCAUAUUGGACAAAAGCUUCAACAGAGAAGCUAAGAUGCUUGGAAAGGUUAAACUUAGACAUCCUGGUAAGUCGAUGGGUUAUUGCUGCAGCAAGUCUGAAGGAUUAUAUCUGACUAAAAGGGUCUGAUGCAUUUGUGGAUGAUAGAAAAUCUAGCGGAGGUUUCAGUCUUAAUGAUAGAAACCAACUCAACAUGUACUUGAAAGGGUUUCUGGUUGCAAGAACAUUAUGGAGUCGUUAAGUUAAAAAACGUCAUUUCAUUGUUAAGUACGAGGAUACAUCAGCUCUUUGAACAGAAGUUAAUUACAGAUCUUACAGAGAUUGUCUUUGGAGAGCAGGUUGCUCGCAGAGAUUCCAGAGUUUGCAGAACUUGGCUUCUUAUAAUUCUUAAAUGAUAGUCUUCAAACACGAAGGCGUGGAAGUCCAGAUGCAGUUGAUAAAAUAAAAUGAUAAGUCUUUGAAGGUUCUUUGAAAAAAAAAAAACAAAAAAAGCAAAAUGAGAACAUGUGUCAAGUCAAAACGUGUGUCCUAUUGGCUGUACCUUUCUGAUGAUAAGAUAAUUGCUUCUGAGGCUCUUCACAGUGUCCUUACUGUUCUUGGUUAAGAGCCAGCGAGGUUUUGGUGAUCUCAGGUUGUUUCUGGAGAUUCUUUUGCAAUGAAGUCUCUUGAGCUUGCGGUUAUUAAUGGACGAGAAAUAUCUCAAAAUUCUGACAGAAUCUAUGCUAGAGUAUGAUAGAACUCUUAAAACAGAGGAUGAUUGCAGGUUUUGCAUGAAAGGGUUGUUGUUCUCAGACUCAAGGUGCAGAUUUUUGUUAAUGUAUCUGAAGCUGAGAAGACAAAAUCUGAAUUAUGGUUUGAUGGGUAUCUCAUGUCAACAAGAAGAUAAAAACUGAUCCAAAGACUGGACAUCUGUCUUGUUGUGGUGCCAAUUGUUUUUGAUAGGACCUUCUCUCCUGAGCCAUCCAGAGGAGCAAAAACAGGGGAACCCAAAACAGAGAAGCCUAGAAGAACCAUGACAUCCUCUAAUAUUACCGUUGCUUCUCCCCAAGGGAAGAUGAAGGUUUUGGUUUCAGGAGACCAUCUCUCAGCAACACCCAUGACUAGAUUUGAGUCUUUAAUGAUUUUGAGAGUGGAUGCAGCAACUGCUUGGAGAACCGCUGAAACUGCCAUCUUCUCCCAUAUGAUAAGA